CCUACGGGAGGCAGCAGUGAGGAAUAUUGGUCAAUGGGCGCGAGUCUGAACCAGCCAAGUAGCGUGAAGGAUGACUGCCCUACGGGUUGUAAACUUCUUUUAUAAAGGAAUAAAGUGAGGCACGUGUGCCUUUUUGUAUGUACUUUAUGAAUAAGGAUCGGCUAACUCCGUGCCAGCAGCCGCGGUAAUACGGAGGAUCCGAGCGUUAUCCGGAUUUAUUGGGUUUAAAGGGAGCGUAGAGGGGUUGUUAAGUCAGUUGUGAAAGUUUGGGGCUCAACCGUAAAAUUGCAAUGGACACUGGAAGCAUUGAGUACAGUUAAGGUAGGCGGAAUUCGUGGUGUAGCGGUGAAAUGCUUAGAUAUCACGAAGAACCCCGAUUGCGAAGGCAGCCUACUAAACUGCCACUGACGUUGAUGCUCGAAAGUGUGGGUAUCAAACAGGAUUAGAUACCCCAGUAGUC
rnacentral:rRNA from 1 species